UGUGCAGGUGAAUUGGCCUCUCACAGUUC
rnacentral:piRNA from 1 species